rnacentral:rRNA from 1 species
UCCUAAGUUGAAUACAUAGACUUAGAGAAGCGAACCCGGAGAACUGAACCAUCUAAGUACCCGGAGGAAAAGAAAUCAACCGAGAUUCCGCAAGUAGUGGCGAGCGAACGCGGAGGAGCCUGUACGUAAUAACUGUCGAGAUAGAAGAACAAGCUGGGAAGCUUGACCAUAGUGGGUGAUAGUCCCGUAUUCGAAAUCUCAACGGUGGUACUAAGCGUACGAAAAGUAGGGCGGGACACGUGAAAUCCUGUCUGAAUAUGGGGGGACCAUCCUCCAAGGCUAAAUACUCAUCAUCGACCGAUAGUGAACCAGUACCGUGAGGGAAAGGCGAAAAGAACCCCGGGAGGGGAGUGAAAUAGAACCUGAAACCUGAUGCAUACAAACAGUGGGAGCACCCAUGUGGUGUGACUGCGUACCUUUUGUAUAAUGGGUCAACGACUUACAUUCAGUAGCGAGCUUAACCGAAUAGGGGAGGCGUAGGGAAACCGAGUCUUAAUAGGGCGAACAGUUGCUGGGUGUAGACCCGAAACCGAGUGAUCUAUCCAUGGCCAGGUUGAAGGUGCCGUAACAGGUACUGGAGGACCGAACCCACGCAUGUUGCAAAAUGCGGGGAUGAGCUGUGGAUAGGGGUGAAAGGCUAAACAAACUCGGAGAUAGCUGGUUCUCCCCGAAAACUAUUUAGGUAGUGCCUCGAGCAAGACACUGAUGGGGGUAAAGCACUGUUAUGGCUAGGGGGUUAUUGCAACUUACCAACCCAUGGCAAACUAAGAAUACCAUCAAGUGGUUCCUCGGGAGACAGACAGCGGGUGCUAACGUCCGUUGUCAAGAGGGAAACAACCCAGACCGCCAGCUAAGGUCCCAAAUGAUAGAUUAAGUGGUAAACGAAGUGGGAAGGCCCAGACAGCCAGGAUGUUGGCUUAGAAGCAGCCAUCAUUUAAAGAAAGCGUAAUAGCUCACUGGUCGAGUCGUCCUGCGCGGAAGAUGUAACGGGGCUCAAAUCUAUAACCGAAGCUGCGGAUGCCAGUUUACUGGCAUGGUAGGGGAGCGUUCUGUAGGCCGAUGAAGGUGCAUUGUAAAGUGUGCUGGAGGUAUCAGAAGUGCGAAUGUUGACAUGAGUAGCGAUAAAGCGGGUGAAAAGCCCGCUCGCCGAAAGCCCAAGGUUUCCUACGCAACGUUCAUCGGCGUAGGGUGAGUCGGCCCCUAAGGCGAGGCAGAAAUGCGUAGUCGAUGGGAAACAGGUUAAUAUUCCUGUACUUGAUUCAAAUGCGAUGUGGGGACGGAGAAGGUUAGGUUAGCAAGCUGUUGGAAUAGCUUGUUUAAGCCGGUAGGUGGAAGACUUAGGCAAAUCCGGGUCUUCUUAACACCGAGAAGUGACGACGAGUGUCUACGGACAUGAAGUAACCGAUACCACGCUUCCAGGAAAAGCCACUAAGCUUCAGUUUGAAUCGAACCGUACCGCAAACCGACACAGGUGGGCAGGAUGAGAAUUCUAAGGCGCUUGAGAGAACUCGGGAGAAGGAACUCGGCAAAUUGAUACCGUAACUUCGGGAGAAGGUAUGCCCUCUAAGGUUAAGGACUUGCUCCGUAAGCCUCGGAGGGUCGCAGAGAAUAGGUGGCUGCGACUGUUUAUUAAAAACACAGCACUCUGCUAACACGAAAGUGGACGUAUAGGGUGUGACGCCUGCCCGGUGCUGGAAGGUUAAUUGAAGAUGUGAGAGCAUCGGAUCGAAGCCCCAGUAAACGGCGGCCGUAACUAUAACGGUCCUAAGGUAGCGAAAUUCCUUGUCGGGUAAGUUCCGACCCGCACGAAUGGCGUAACGAUGGCCACACUGUCUCCUCCCGAGACUCAGCGAAGUUGAAGUGGUUGUGAAGAUGCAAUCUACCCGCUGCUAGACGGAAAGACCCCGUGAACCUUUACUGUAGCUUUGCAUUGGACUUUGAAGUCACUUGUGUAGGAUAGGUGGGAGGCUUUGAAGCAGAGACGCCAGUCUCUGUGGAGCCGUCCUUGAAAUACCACCCUGGUGUCUUUGAGGUUCUAACCCAGACCCGUAAUCCGGGUCGGGGACCGUGCAUGGUAGGC